AGACGAGCUCGUGUAAAGUUGGGA
rnacentral:siRNA from 1 species